GACGUAGGGCGCGAGCGUUGUCCGGAUUUAUUGGGCGUAAAGAGCUCGUAGGCGGCUUGUCGCGUCGUUCGUGAAAACCCGGGGCUCAACUCCGGGCUUGCGGGCGAUACGGGCAGGCUAGAGUCCGGAAGAGGAGAGUGGAAUUCCUGGUGUAGCGGUGAAAUGCGCAGAUAUCAGGAAGACACCCGUGGCGAAGGCGGCUCUCUGGGACGGUACUGACGCUGAGACGCGAAAGCGUG
rnacentral:rRNA from 1 species